rnacentral:lncRNA from 1 species
UUUACUCUUAUUCCCUCUUCAGCCUGACAUCUGACCAAGCCGAGAUUGGUUCUCCCUAGACAUUCCAUAACCACCUCCUUCCAUGCUUUAGCCAAGAUGGACUUCUCACUGUCCAAGUCAUUGAGUAUGCUCUCCCUUCUGACUGAUAAACCAUCUGACUUUUCUCAGUUUCUUAUCUGUAUGCAAGCACCAAUGGAUCAUUAGAGCAAAAUACCAAGAGCUUGUGAGAUGGAAAAAGAUUACUAUAAGAUGGGCACUGCCAAUAUUUCUUCAACAAUUGCCAUUUCCGUAUACACCAGCCCUUCACCUGCCAAUGCCUCCAUUUUUUGCCUGAAGGCUUUCUCUGGCCAUCAGUGACUACUCAGUCUGAACACACAACGGGCUGAAAAUACCAAGGAAUUAACGUUUCUCGGGAGCAGUUCUCAACCAAUAACUUGGAUAAACUGGAACUGGCAGAAGACUAAGGCCUGUGACAAAGGAUCAGUGGAAAAAUAAAGAAGAAGGAGAGGAUAAAUGAUGAAUCAAAGGCACAAGGACAGGCUGGGCACAGUGGCUCAUGCCUGUAAUCUCAGCACUUUGGGAGCCCAAGGCCCAGUCCCAAGGUGCAAGGCCACUUGUGCUAGCAGCAUGCGUCAGCAAGAUAGCAGAAGCAGGAAGAGAGCUGGCCGGAAGAUAUGUACCCUGUGAAGACCGAGAGAGAGGCCGUCCAGGUACCACGUAGCAGUUACAUCAGACUGAGACACUUCCUGUUUACAGGAGACUAUAAAACCCCUGCCCCAUCCUCAUUUGGUGCUGAUGCCAUUUUCAGCCUCAGCACGCCUGCACCCAGGCGCUCAUUAAAACAGCAUGUUGCUCCCCACUGCCUCGUGUUGUCUGUUGGCGCGCUGUCGGGGUUCGAACCGAUACAAGAACCUUCCACCUACCUGGUGCUUUGGCCUCAUCUAUAAGCUUUUCCACUGUCCUGAAACAAGAUAGAGAAUCUGAGCGGCCAGUCAUCUGCCCUAAGUGCUGCCGCCGAAGACUGAAUGUCCUGGAAAGUUUGCUGUCACAUCUCCAUUAUGACAAAAGCAUUGUGCCGAACAGAUGAAAAAAUGCAUUGUCAACGGAAUCUUUUAUGUUUGUUUGUCUUCCUUUAAGCAACAUUGCCUUACUUGUUAUAAAAGAUAAAUAAAUAUUUGUUCAUUUCAAUUCUGA